rnacentral:sRNA from 1 species
GUGGGCGCUGGCGCCGCGGCGUUGGCUGAAACCUUGACCAGGGCUGGAGGGAAGGGCCGAUAUUCAGUGUGUCCGCGUCUGGUCUGUCUGUGCCAUAGGGAUUCUCGAAGAGAACAGCGUUGUGUCCCAGUGCACAUGCUCGCAUCGCUUACCAGGAGUGCCUGAGACCCUAAGAUGUUCGGAGUGGUUUUUUCGCACAGACCCGAAUAGCCUGCCGCUCAGCCACGCUCUGUGCCCUUCUGAGAACAGGCUGAUAUGCCCAAGAUAGUCCUGAAUGGUGUGACCGUAGACUUCCCUUUCCAGCCCUACAAAUGCCAACAGGAGUACAUGACCAAGGUCCUGGAAUGUCUGCAGCAGAAGGUGAAUGGCAUCCUGGAGAGCCCUACGGGUACAGGGAAGACGCUGUGCCUGUUGUGCACCACGCUGGCCUGGCGAGAACACCUCCGAGAUGGCAUCUCUGCCCGCAAGAUUGCCGAGAGGGCGCAAGGAGAGCUUUUCCCGGAUCGGGCCUUGUCAUCCUGGGGCAACGCUGCUGCUGCUGCUGGAGACCCCAUAGAUUCUUGGCUGUCUGCAGGGCCGAGUUAGCCGAAUGCCACCUGCCUUUGAUACGUGAGCACGUUGUCUGAGAACCAUGACUUCUGUGCUUGCUUGUGUCUGGUCAGCUUGCUAC